rnacentral:lncRNA from 1 species
CUGAAGUGGAAAGGCAAUGGCUGCAACUGCUGGGUUUCCCAGAAACCUCAGCUCCUCCUCCCAGCUCUGCACGUCUUGCUUUGAGAAGCACCCAAAAGGUCAGCUGGAAUUCAAGUCGUGUCAAGCUAUCCCUAAUCGUAGAGGAGGCACACUUUAGAUCUUGAACAGCUCACAGGUGUUUGGGCGCUUCUGGAGUUGCUCACAAGAAUAAAGGCAAAUCAGAGGGAGGACCAACAUUUAGUCCUGCUGCAAACAGGCCCCAGAUGCAGGACUGGAGUUCUUCUUCUUGCUUAUUGUACAGAUGUGUGCAGAAGUCAUGGAAAACAUCCAGGACCAGGUCUAUCUACAAGUACAAGUUGUCAAGAGGAGACCAUAUAUGCUUCUGUCUUGUAGUUUCCCAAUUUAUUCAGAAAGGAUAUCGAUCUGAGCGAAGAUAAGGUGGCUGCAGACAGCAGGAGGAGAAACGCCAUCACACAUUUUCCUCUCAUCCCUUGGCUCCUCAUGGAGAGGAGAAAACAAGCCCAGGCAGAGCAUCCUGCCCCUGGUCAUUGAUGGUAGAGGUGGUUCAGAGGAACACAUGCUGGUCCAAGACUGGGUGCUACUGUAACCUGGCCGUCUUCCACCUGAAGUCCAGCCCAGUGCCUACUGCUCUGCUUUCUGCUUAUGGGUUGUUCAGUGCCGCAGCCUGCCUGCCUUGGCUUUUCAAGUGUCAUCUGUUCCUGUAUUCCCCAGAUCCCAGCUCUGCCCGCCACAUCAGGAAGUCCACCCUCUUACAGCCUGAUGAGCCCCUCGGAGGCUGGAGACUGCCCUACCUUCGAUACUGUACCCCACACCUUCAGCUGGAUCUCUUCCAGACCUGGCCUCUGUCCCGGUGGUAGUUUCAUGCCACAUCCAUCUGUUCCCACUACAUGCCCCUUCCAUGCCCCAGGAAUUCAGAGACCAAGUAAAAAAUGAGCAUUCCUAGCGACCAUAAUUAGAUUCCAAAGAUGAGAAAGGAGUUUUUAAGUAAAUGCCAACCAUCUCCAUAUAAAAAAAGAAAACUUUUUAAUCGAUUGUUGGGGGGAGCUGUUAAUGAGCUAACCACUUUUAAUUCAAUAUUUGACAGUAAUUGCAACAGAAUUACAUUUAACAAGACAAGAACCUCUAUGGGUUUUUAGCAGUCAAAUGAGGUACAGAAUGGUUCUUUUCAAGGAACUGAAAUAUAAUCAAAGGAGCCUUCAUGCCUGUUGCUGAGUCUGAGUGACAAGACUACCA